rnacentral:rRNA from 1 species
AGAGUUUGAUCCUGGCUCAGGAUGAACGCUAGCGGCAGGCUUAAUACAUGCAAGUCGAGGGGCAGCACAGAUAGCAAUAUUGGGUGGCGACCGGCAAACGGGUGCGGAACACGUACACAACCUUCCUUUCGGUGGGGGAUAGCCUUUGGAAACGGAGAUUAAUACCCCAUAAAACAGGGACACUGCAUGGUGAUAUUGUUAAAGAUUUAUCGCCGGAAGAUGGGUGUGCGUAUGAUUAGGUAGUUGGUAGGGUAACGGCCUACCAAGCCGACGAUCAUUAACUGGUGUGAGAGCACGACCAGUCACACGGGCACUGAGACACGGGCCCGACUCCUACGGGAGGCAGCAGUAAGGAAUAUUGGUCAAUGGACGGAAGUCUGAACCAGCCAUGCCGCGUGGAGGAUGAAGGUCCUCUGGAUUGUAAACUUCUUUUAUAGGGGGCGAAAAAGGGUCUUUUUAGAUCAACUGACGGUACCCUAUGAAUAAGCACCGGCUAACUCCGUGCCAGCAGCCGCGGUAAUACGGAGGGUGCAAGCGUUAUCCGGAUUCACUGGGUUUAAAGGGAGCGUAGGCGGAUUGUUAAGUCCGUGGUGAAAGCCCUCAGCUCAACUGAGGAACUGCCAUGGAUACUAUCAAUCUUGAAUGUCGUUGAGGUUUGCGGAAUGGGUCAUGUAGCGGUGAAAUGCAUAGAUAUGACCCGGAACACCAAUUGCGAAGGCAGCACGCUAAACGAAAAUUGACGCUGAGGCUCGAAAGCGUGGGGAUCAAACAGGAUUAGAUACCCUGUAGUCCACGCCCUAAACGAUGAUUACUCGACAUACGUGAUAUGACAAUGUGUGUCUGAGCGAA